rnacentral:rRNA from 1 species
CCUACGGGAGGCUGCAGUGGGGAAUUUUGGACAAUGGGGGCAACCCUGAUCCAGCCAUGCCGCGUGCGGGAAGAAGGCCUUCGGGUUGUAAACCGCUUUCGGCCGGAACGAAAUCGCCGGGGAGAACAUCCCCGGUGGUUGACGGUACCGGAAGAAGAAGCACCGGCUAACUACGUGCCAGCAGCCGCGGUAAUACGUAGGGGACGAGCUGUAAUCGGAAUUACUGGAGGCAAAGCGUGAAGACAGAUGUGAAAUCCCCGGGCUUAACCUGGGAACUGCGUUUGUGACUGGCGGGCUGGAGUGCGGAAGAGGGAGGUGGAAUUCCACGUGUAGCAGUGAAAUGCGUAGAGAUGUGGAGGAACACCGAUGGCGUAGGCAGCCUCCUGGUCUAGCACUGACGCUCAUGCACGAAAGCGUGGGGAGCAAACAGGAUUAGAUACCCCAGUAGUC